UUCGCGCUCGCCAUCUAUAUGCAGAUGCGCUAGUUACAAGAAAUAGUAACUAGAAGAUAGUUCUACUUAUAAUCGAUUUAAUCGAUAGAUUAAAGAUGUCCUUUUGUUUUUAUCCCUAGUCCAUGUAAGAAUGUGCAGUAAAGGUUUUUCGGCUCAGAACAGUGACAGAUUUAUCCAAAGAAUAAAAUAAUAGCUAUUGUGACCCUACCUCUAAAUACAGAAAUAACAACAAGACAUUUUGAAAUAAGAGGUUAGAACAGUUUUGGAAGAACGGAAUCAUUCCGACAAUCGACGAGGGACUUUCAAAGAAGUGAAAAUAUAAAAUUACAAUGUUGUUUGCAAUGUAGCGAUACUUUUUACAAAAUAAAUCAACGAUUGUGGGAUGCCGGUAAGUUAAAACCUGCGAAAUCUGGCGGACGAAUUCAGCACGACGAUCCGGACUUGGGAGAUAAAAUACUGCACCUUAUUCAAGAAAAUUCAAGUAGGAAAAAUCUUUUCAAGUGAAUGAAUCAGAAAAUCUAACGCAAUUCCAAUUUCUCCGCACGUGAAAAUCCACGCACAUUGAGAUGGUUCACGCAGGAUGGCGCACCACCACAUUCUACCAGCGCAGUGCAAGGUCACUUGGGCUGUUUUGGAAACAGUUACCGUGACUGAUACCAGGGACAAAUUAGUUAAGUACAUAUAAAAGUUAAUAAUUGAAUAUUCAAUUACAAUAUAAUUAAAUAUAUGAGUUAUUUCAUAAUAUUUGAAGUAGAAAAUAAAAGAGACAAAACAAAUGUUUCCUUUGCAUUAAAAUUAUCAAGUCAAAGUAUCAUACAUCAUCAUUAAUAUAAAUUUGGAUAAUAUGACAAACAAAUGAGUAACGUAUCUUUAAUUACAAACAGUAGGAAUACAAUAUAUAUAGUUACACGAUAUAACAAUAAUUAUCUGGAUCUAGGAAACGUGAAUAAAGGGAAGGAGAGAAAUAGAAGAAAAGAAGAGAAGAAGACAGAUUGCACCGAACAGAAUAAAAGAAGAAAAUAUGGCAAAUUAAGAUGAAGAGAAAAUUGUAAAUAAAAGCGUUUAAUCCAUAGAGUGUGGUGGCAAACAAAUUAUGAAACAAGAUAAUUCUUCUAUUUUUCUGUAUUGAUUAUUCCUAAGUAUACAUAUAACUACGCAGGAUAUGAUAUAUCAUAUGCAUGUAGGAUUUUGGUUUGAAGAAGUAUGUUUAUUAAAUUUUAAAGAACGAAAAUUGAACAAGAAACCCAAUAACUCGAUGUUUCACAAUUUAGCACAACACAAUUCGAUACAAUUUGUAUUGUACAACUUAUACAACAUAGCACGAUAAAAAGCAACACGAUCCAAUACGUUUGUAAACAACUUCUUGCAUAAUACGUUGGUGCUCUGGCAAUUCUUGAUUUGCGACUAAUUGACAAGCGAUCCUGAAUUUUUUAGAGAACGUCACACAUACACUUGAAUUUUUUGAUACUAAAUAAUUAAAUAUGUGUGAUUCGACCACAUUUGAUAGCACGUUAAGAAGGUUCCUAACAAACACAAAGAUGGUAUCCCGUUGGGGAUGGUCACCCACAUGAUAAUCAAACAGUUAAAAAAUUCUACCAAAUGUCCAAAUUGGCGAUUUUUUUGUGGAUGCGUGUGUGAAAUUUGUAUAAACAUUGUUUAUACGUGCUAUCAUUUAUUAAUUAUUUAUGGAGGCAAAGGAAAAGAGAAAACAUUAAUCCUGCCCACUCAAAAAUUCCAUAAGACGGUUUCCGAUAUGCUGUUAUGGAUUUUAAUGAGUAGGCAGGUAUAAUGAUUAAUCUAUGAUUUUUCUUACAAAACACCGCGCAGGAUGGUUUACAUCUUCGAAUGUCAUAGUCUUCUUCUCUACUUGUAUGAGGCAAGCACUGCCCAUAUAUAUUGUUUGAGUUGAGAAUCGCUGCUUCGACUGCUUAGACUGAUCUACUUCCGUUCGUGUAAGAAGGUUUGCUCGCGUAUAGGGAUUAUUUGGGCUAAUUAUGAAUAA